CAAAAUAAAGCUUAUAGUUAAGCAUUUCAUUUACAUUGAAAGGAAAUUAGUGCGAAUCUAAUAUUUUUGA
rnacentral:tRNA from 1 species